rnacentral:rRNA from 1 species
CCUACGGGUGGCAGCAGUGGGGAAUAUUGGACAAUGGGGGGAACCCUGAUCCAGCCAUGCCGCGUGUGUGAAGAAGGCCCUCGGGUUGUAAAGCACUUUCAGUGAGGAAGAACGCCUGGUGGUUAAUACCCAUCAGGAAAGACAUCACUCACAGAAGAAGCACCGGCUAACUCCGUGCCAGCAGCCGCGGUAAUACGGAGGGUGCGAGCGUUAAUCGGAAUUACUGGGCGUAAAGCGCGCGUAGGUGGCUUGAUAAGCCGGUUGUGAAAGCCCCGGGCUCAACCUGGGAACGGCAUCUGGAACUGUCAAGCUAGAGUGCAGGAGAGGAAGGUAGAAUUCCCGGUGUAGCGGUGAAAUGCGUAGAGAUCGGGAGGAAUACCAGUGGCGAAGGCGGCCUUCUGGACUGACACUGACACUGAGGUGCGAAAGCGUGGGUAGCAAACAGGAUUAGAUACCCUUGUAGUC